UACGGAGGAUGCAAGCGUUAUCCGGAUUUAUUGGGUUUAAAGGGUGCGCAGGUUGUUUGACAAGUCAGUGGUGAAAGUCUGCCGCUUAACGGAAGGAUUGCCAUUGAUACUGUUGGACUUGAGUAUGGAUAAGGUAUGCGGAAUGUGUAGUGUAGCGGUGAAAUGCAUAGAUAUUACACAGAACACCGAUUGCGAAGGCAGCAUACUGGGCCAUUACUGACGCUGAGGCACGAAAGCGUGGGGAUCAAACAGGAUUAGAUACCCCUAGUAGUCC
rnacentral:rRNA from 1 species